rnacentral:rRNA from 1 species
CACGUAGGGCGCAAGCGUUGUCCGGAAUUAUUGGGCGUAAAGAGCUCGUAGGCGGACUGUCACGUCCGCUGUGAAAAGCUAGGGCUUAACCCUGGCCUUGCAGUGGAUACGGGCAGACUAGAGGUAGGUAGGGGAGAAUGGAAUUCCCGGUGUAGCGGUGAAAUGCGCAGAUAUCAGGAGGAACACCGAUGGCGAAGGCAGGUCUCUGGGCAUUAACUGACGCUGAGGAGCGAAAGCAUGGGGAGCGAACAGG